AUUGAACGCUGGCGGCAUGCUUUACACAUGCAAGUCGGACGGCAGCACAGAGAAGCUUGCUUCUUGGGUGGCGAGUGGCGAACGGGUGAGUAAUAUAUCGGAACGUACCGAGUAAUGGGGGAUAACUAAUCGAAAGAUUAGCUAAUACCGCAUAUUCUCUGAGGAGGAAAGCAGGGGACCUUCGGGCCUUGCGUUAUUCGAGCGGCCGAUAUCUGAUUAGCUAGUUGGUGGGGUAAAGGCCUACCAAGGCGACGAUCAGUAGCGGGUCUGAGAGGAUGAUCCGCCACACUGGGACUGAGACACGGCCCAGACUCCUACGGGAGGCAGCAGUGGGGAAUUUUGGACAAUGGGCGCAAGCCUGAUCCAGCCAUGCCGCGUGUCUGAAGAAGGCCUUCGGGUUGUAAAGGACUUUUGUCAGGGAAGAAAAGGCUGUUGCUAAUAUCGACAGCUGAUGACGGUACCUGAAGAAUAAGCACCGGCUAACUACGUGCCAGCAGCCGCGGUAAUACGUAGGGUGCGAGCGUUAAUCGGAAUUACUGGGCGUAAAGCGAGCGCAGACGGUUACUUAAGCAGGAUGUGAAAUCCCCGGGCUCAACCUGGGAACUGCGUUCUGAACUGGGUGACUAGAGUGUGUCAGAGGGAGGUAGAAUUCCACGUGUAGCAGUGAAAUGCGUAGAGAUGUGGAGGAAUACCGAUGGCGAGGGCAGCCUCCUGGGAUGACACUGACGUUCAUGCUCGAAAGCGUGGGUAGCAAACAGG
rnacentral:rRNA from 1 species